rnacentral:rRNA from 1 species
RAAAUGGCCCAGAUCGUUUACCGUGAAAAAAUUAGAGUGUUCAAAGCAGGCAGAUUCAAUUUUCUGCCACCGAAUACAUUAGCAUGGGAUAAUGGAAUAGGACCCUGUCCUCCUAUUUUCAGUUGGUUUUGGCAGCGCGAGGACUAGGGUAAUGAUUAAUAGGGAUAGUUGGGGGCAUUAAUAUUUAAUUGUCAGAGGUGAAAUUCUUGGAUUUAUGAAAGAUUAACUUCUGCGAAAGCAUCUGCCAAGGAUGUUUUCAUUAAUCAAGAACGAAAGUUAGGGGAUCGAAGACGAUCAGAUACCGUCGUAGUCUUAACCAWAAACGAUGCCGACCAGCGAUUAGGAGACGUUGAAUWCUAGCACCACCAUCGGCGCGGUCGUCCUUGGCGUUCGUGUUCACGCACGGCGCGAGGGC